rnacentral:rRNA from 1 species
AGUGCCUAGGUCUCAAACUAGGACCGAGUCUCGCUUGCGACCGCCGUCCGAAUUGUGUACGUUCAGCUCGCCCGCAUCGUUAUGCAGUCGCCGUCUGCCCACUCAUUGCGCACCCUUGCAUGGAAAACCAAGCCUUGUUGUGUCCCUUUGAACACGAUUAUGGCCUAUUCGGAAUGCCCCUUUCUAAAUAGCGGCUUUCUAGCCGGGCGCAGACUAAUCGAUCAACCACUCCAUUACCGAGUGGUU